rnacentral:rRNA from 1 species
GACAGAGGGUGCAAACGUUGCUCGGAAUUACUGGGCGUAAAGCGCGUGUAGGCGGGCUAGUAAGUCGGACGUGAAAUCCCUGAGCUCAACUCAGGAACUGCAUCCGAAACUAUUAGCCUUGAGUGGUGGAGAGGGAAGCAGAAUUCCUGGUGUAGAGGUGAAAUUCGUAGAUAUCAGGAGGAACACCGGUGGCGAAGGCGGCUUCCUGGACACUAACUGACGCUGAGACGCGAAAGCGUGGGGAGCAAACAGG